rnacentral:rRNA from 1 species
AUUGAACGCUGGCGGCAGGCCUAACACAUGCAAGUCGAGCGGAUGACGGGAGCUUGCUCCUUGAUUCAGCGGCGGACGGGUGAGUAAUGCCUAGGAAUCUGCCUGGUAGUGGGGGACAACGUUUCGAUAGGAACGCUAAUACCGCAUACGUCCUACGGGAGAAAGCAGGGGACCUUCGGGCCUUGCGCUAUCAGAUGAGCCUAGGUCGGAUUAGCUCGUUGGUGGGGUAAUGGCUCACCAAGGCGACGAUCCGUAACUGGUCUGAGAGGAUGAGCAGUCACACUGGAACUGAGACACGGUCCAGACUCCUACGGGAGGAAGCAGUGGGGAAUAUUGGACAAUGGGCGAAAGCCUGAUCCAGCCAUGCCGCGUGUGUGAAGAAGGUCUUCGGAUUGUAAAGCACUUUAAGUUGGGAGGAAGGGCAGUAAGUUAAUACCUUGCUGUUUUGACGUUACCGACAGAAUAAGCACCGGCUAACUCUGUGCCAGCCGCCGCAGUAA